rnacentral:rRNA from 1 species
AUUGAACGCUGGCGGCAGGCCUAACACAUGCAAGUCGAACGGUAGCACAGAGAGCUUGCCCUCGGGUGACGAGUGGCAGACGGGUGAGUAAUGUCUGGGAAACUGCCCGAUGGAGGGGGAUAACUACUGGAAACGGUAGCUAAUACCGCAUAACGUCGCAAGACCAAAGUGGGGGACCUUCGGGCCUCACACCAUCGGAUGUGCCCAGAUGGGAUUAGCUAGUAGGUGGGGUAAUGGCUCACCUAGGCGACGAUCCCUAGCUGGUCUGAGAGGAUGACCGGCCACACUGGGACUGAGACACGGUCCAGACUCCUACGGGAGGCAGCAGUGGGGAAUAUUGCACAAUGGGCGCAAGCCUGAUGCAGCCAUGCCGCGUGUAUGAAGAGGGCCUUCGGGUUGUAAAGUACUUUCAGCGGGGAGGAAGGCGGUGAAGUUAAUAACUUCACCGAUUGACGUUACCCGCAGAAGAAGCACCGGCUAACUCCGUGCCAGCCGCCGCCGUAA